rnacentral:lncRNA from 1 species
CAUGAAAGAUAUAGAAAAUUCUACAGAUUACUUAAAGUAGUAUGUAAUCAAGGAGGGUUGCAUAUUAAAUGGAAAAGGAAACACAUCAUUGUUUUUGGAAUGAUGUAACCAUGAUCCAUGAUAGGAAAAUGGCAUAAAUCGAUGUCCUUUUUCCUAAAAACAAAAAAAAGUAGUGAGCCUAUACUAUACACCAUUUGUUAAACUCCCUGCUAAUAAGGAUAUAUCAGGUGCUUUAUGUUUUUCUCACCUUAAAAAUGUCUUUGCACUUGUGAAUUUUUUAGUUAUAGUAUAAUAUUUUAUGACCAUAGAACUGAGUUGACACUUGACACCGAUAUUAGCGGGCGACACAAAUAAAUGGGAGAGCAAAGGAAGAAGACGGCUUUACAAGACUUACUCGAAAACGCGUCUGAAAUUAUUGGGGAACAUGAUGACAAGCAAUAGAUGUCAAGGUUGAAAACCCUCGUUAAGGUUGAAGUCUCCAGUUGAGCCACCACCACAACAAGCAUGCUUCAACUCGCUUGCCUUUUUUCCCUCCACUGCACCUUUCAUACUCCACUAGGAGUUGAUCGAGACCUAUAGGUGGAGGUCAAAAUUUAGGUAAAGAUUCAAAUUUUGAAUAAUAACUGGGUUUUCCCAUAUAGCCAGUAAAUCCAAACCUGAAUGACUAUCAUGCAUGGUGAUGCGGACCACCACCAAUUGUUUUGACAAGGUAAAGGGAAACUAAAAAGAUAGAUAUGCUGACUAGCUAGCUGCUGAAGGAGAUAUUAAUUCACAUGUUGAUGUGGACCAAAGAUAACUCUCACAACAGGCCAUGAUUGUCUUGAGGAACAACUUGGGCACUCUACUCCUCUAGGGUACACAGUUUUUAUAGAGGACGACUUUGUUUUUGCCUAAACACGUACAUUGCACAUGACUCCAGACUUGGCAUCUAGUGUAAUAUUAUUGUGUCCUCCUAUCCGUGACUGUAGUAGUACCUUUUGUUGUGUAAUCCAGUUAUCCAGGUGCAUGAAUAUAUGUUGCAAAUAUAUAUUAAUUGGCAUGGCUUUGGUAAAUUAAAAAGAGAUUGUCUUGGCAGGCGUGGCUUCGAUCUUCCUGCAAAAAAAAGAAAAAAAGAACGUGCAACAGCCAACAGGUAGGUAGCGCAGCACCAGAAACGGCAGAAUCAGCAGUGAUUUCUGUCCGUGAUAGGGUAAACUAGCCACUCUUUCUACAUGAGCAUCACUUUCGUGGUAGAAAAGCUUAUUAGUAUACGAGCUUUUUCCUGGUACCCACCAACUAUUACAGACUAUGGAUUUUUUAUCCAACCGAGGGAUAAAAUUAUUAGUUACAAAUUAGGUGCUGGGUCUAGUCUCUUAGUGGUAAAUAUUGAUUAUAUAUAAGCAAAACAAAAUGCACGUAGUUGACCAGCAUACUCGAUACACUAGUUAGUCGUUCGAUGUCAGUAAUUGGAGGUACUGACUCUUCACCUUAUUUAAAUUUUGGCUUAAGCAGAAAUCUUACACACAUCAGGCCAACUAGCUAGGACGAGGAAAAUCAUCAGAUUCC